rnacentral:rRNA from 1 species
ACACGUGAGGGGCGAGCGUUGUUCGGAAUUAUUGGGCGUAAAGGGCGCGUAGGCGGUUUUAAAAGCUUGGUGUGAAAGACCUCAGCUCAACUGAGGGGACGCGCUGGGAACUGUAAGACUAGAAUCUAGGAGGGGAAGCUGGAAUUCCUGGUGUAGGGGUGAAAUCUGUAGAUAUCAGGAAGAACACCGGUGGCGAAGGCGAGCUUCUGGCCAUAGAUUGACGCUGAGGCGCGAAAGCGUGGGGAGCGAACAGGAUUAGAAACCCCUGUAGUCC